GUUUCCGUAGUGUAGUGGUUAUCACGUCUGCUUCACACGCGGAAGGUCCUGGGUUCAAACCCCAGCGGAAACA